rnacentral:rRNA from 1 species
AUUGAACGCUGGCGGCAGGCCUAACACAUGCAAGUCGAACGAGUGGCGGAAGGGUGAGUAAUGUAUGGGAAACUGACUGAUGGAGGGGAUAACUAAUGGAAACGGUAGCUAAUACCGCAUACCAUCGGAUGUGCCCAGAUGGGAUUAGGUAGGAGGUGGGGUAACGGCUCACCUAGGCGACGAUCCCUAGCUGGUCUGAGAGGAUGACCAGCCACACGGGAACUGAGACACGGUCCAGACUCCUACGGGAGGCAGCAGUGGGGAAUAUUGCACAAUGGGCGCAAGCCUGAUGCAGCCAUGCCGCGUGUAUGAAGAAGGCCUUCGGUUUGUAAAGUACUUUCAGCGGGGAGGCGUUACCCGCAGAAGAAGCACCGGCUAACUCCGUGCCAGCAGCCGCGGUAAUAC